rnacentral:rRNA from 1 species
UACGUAGGGGGCAAGCGUUGUCCGGAAUCAUUGGGCGUAAAGCGCGUGUAGGCGGACUGGAAGGUCUGGUGUGAAAGCCCGGGGCUCAACCCCGGAGGGUCACUGGAAACCGACAGUCUCGAGUCCGGAAGAGGAGAGUGGAAUUCCUGGUGUAGCGGUGGAAUGCGCAGAUAUCAGGAGGAACACCUAUGGCGAAGGCAGCUCUCUGGUACGUGACUGACGCUGAGACGCGAAAAGCGUGGGGGAGCGAACAGG